AACGAACGCUGGCGGCAUGCCUAACACAUGCAAGUCGAACGAGACCUUCGGGUCUAGUGGCGCACGGGUGCGUAACGCGUGGGAAUCUGCCCUUGGGUUCGGAAUAACAGUUAGAAAUGACUGCUAAUACCGGAUGAUGUCUUCGGACCAAAGAUUUAUCGCCCAGGGAUGAGCCCGCGUCGGAUUAGCUAGUUGGUGAGGUAUAAGCUCACCAAGGCGACGAUCCGUAGCUGGUCUGAGAGGACGAUCAGCCACACUGGGACUGAGACACGGCCCAGACUCCUACGGGAGGCAGCAGUGGGGAAUAUUGGACAAUGGGCGAAAGCCUGAUCCAGCAAUGCCGCGUGAGUGAUGAAGGCCUUAGGGUUGUAAAGCUCUUUUACCCGGGAUGAUAAUGACAGUACCGGGAGAAUAAGCCCCGGCUAACUCCGUGCCAGCAGCCGCCGUAACAC
rnacentral:rRNA from 1 species